GUCUUUUAGAAAUUAAUUUAAAGUCAAAUCUGCCCAAUGAAUUAAAUUUUAAUGGCUGCAGUAAUUUAACUGUACAAAGGUAGCAUAAUAAUUUGUUUUUUAAUUAAAAACUAGUAUGAAAGAUUUGAUGAAAUAAAAUCUGUUUCAAUUAAAUUUAAAUUUAAAUUUUUAUUUAAGUAAAAAAACUUAAAUUUUUUUUAAAGACGAUAAGACCCUAUAGAAUUUUAUUUAUUAAUUAAAUUAAUUUUUUAAUAAAUUUAAUUGGGGAAAUAAAAAAAUUUAAUUAACUUUUUUUAAAAAAUACAUUAUUUUAUGUAUAAAAAUAAAAUUAUCUUAAAUUUUAAAUUUAAAAAAUUAAUUACCUUAGGGAUAACAGCAUAAUUUUUUUUGAAAGUUCAUAUUUAUAAAAAAGUUUAU
rnacentral:rRNA from 1 species